GACGUGUUUGAAACCUAGAAGCCCACCUAGCCUAAAUUCUAUCCCUUCCACCGUUUUGCCUUUGACUCCUUUUCUUUUUGGAUUUUGGGUUCCCAUCGAGAAACUGAUUUGGGGAGGGUACUACAUAGUUCCAGAUUUCUUUGCUUUCAGACGGGGAUUGAAGAGAGAAGAAAGAGAAACUGAUUUGGGAUGGGAACUGGGCACUCAAGUAUGGCAAACUCCAAAAGUUCAUCAAAUAUGAGAAAUAUGAUGUUACAGGUCAUAGAGCAAGCCACUGAUGCAGAGAAAGCAACGGCUAUGUGUGAGUUUCUUGAUUUCAAGCGCAGGAACAAGGUAAUCUUUCAUC